CCCCACCUAACACGACUAUAAUCCUUCACCAGGUGCCUUGACACUUCGGCUAUCUCAAAAAGAAAGUAGGAUGCAUGCGCUGCAUUCCUUCUAUCCUAUUUCAGAGACUUGGAGGGGGUGCGCAAGAGAAAAUAGAUUAUAAUACAGUUCAACAAUAUCAAAGUAGUAAAUGAGCGACAAGUAGCACAUAAGGCCAACAAACACAAUAUCAAAAUAAUUAAAGCAAGUAAAGUCAAUAUCAAAAGCUUGAAUUCUUAUAUUGUUCCCGGCAGAGUCGUCAUAGAUGUCACACCCCUUUUUCUCUUGAGAGAGUCAAGUCGAAGAAUUUUUCCAAUUUAAGUGACGAUUUUGAAUAGGGAUUAGUUUAUUUACAGAGUCGCCACUUGGAAUUGAGUUAUGGUGUUCUAAGUCACCUUUUUGAAUCCCCAAUCAAAAGGAAUUGACUCUUUAUUAUGGUCUGCGAAAACAGAAGGUCAGGUAAGAAAUUCUGUUGAUCGAGGGGAAGGUGUGAGGUACCCCUCGAGUCCCGUGGUUCUAGCACGGUCGCUUUUAUUGACUUAUCUUGACUUAAAGUAUUUUGAUGAAUUAUUUUAAAACCUAAAUUUACUCAUUUUUAAUAUACUAAGACUAUUUAAAAACUCUUGUAUUAAAUCGAUAAAAAGUUAAUUUUAGGAAAGUAUUAAAUAAAUCGGUGAAAGUUAAUUCUAGAAAAAUAUUUACCGAGGUGCAUUGUUGCAUCCUUGAAUUUUAAAUGUCUCAGAAAGAUGCAUAUGCCACAUUCUUAAUUGAGACGAAUAUUUUAAAUGUGCCUAAAAUUUAUCUAGCGUUAAAAUGCAUUUGUUUCGUCUCUUGUAAACUCGAGACAAUUUUAUCUUAUUCAAUUUUUUUUUUCUCUUUAUUUUGCAACGACUUUUAGAUUAUUCCGCAACUCACCUCGCUCCCUCACAAAUGAGUUUUUCCUCUCUUUUCUUUUAUCAAUAGCAACGAAUCUUUCUCACAUUAAUUUUUCGAUUAGGAGUUAAGCACAUCCAAAUUCAUAAGUUAUUAUUUAUUUAUUUUUAGAACGAAAUGAUUAUUGCAACAACAACUUCAAAGUAUGCACUAGCUUUACAAGUAUUUUUAAAUAGCAUGUAAAAUUUAUCAAAUAAAACAUAUAGGAAGAAUUAUUUACACUAGUACAUUCUUUAUUACUAAAACAAAGCCAUGCAUCUAAUAAAUUAAUAAAAAUGAAAUACAUUCCUUUAAUCCCACCAAAGUUAACCCACCAGCUAACAAAUCUUAUAUUAACAAUAACUAAAUUCCCACUACAAUUCCUUUGCUUGUUUUAGCACAACAUAUAAUAAAUAGUAGCACUUCUAUUCCACGAUAGGUAAAUAAAAUUUAGUCCAUAGAGGUGAAAAUAUUGUUUGAGUAGCCACAUAAUGCAUGGGCAAGAGAAAUUAAACAUCAAUCAAUUUUCAAAAGAAUGAGUAAUUCUCAAUUAGAAAAAGAAAAAUCACUAAAAGUGAAUUAAGUCCAAACUCAACCCUAGUCAUAAUUCAUUUAUUACCUCCCAUUAUUUAUUUUUUAUACUCCAAUUAUUGGUUAAACUUAGCCACCAACUACAGCCUACGUGUAAAACAAGCAUGUUGCAGUACAUGACUAGUUUGCAAUUUUAAUUGCAAUUCACCCAAACAACAUGUGUAAUUGUCCCCUCACUUCUACAUCAAUUUUUCAUGUAUGUAAUCCACUAUUUGAGCCUUAAUCCAUUGUUUUGUCAUUAAACAAUUAGGAUGCUAGGGAUUAUUUUAAACCUAUAUUUUUAAAAAAUCUGCAUAACUAAAUCCAUGCUAACCUAUGAACAACUCAACUAUUUAAUAUGCUAAUUCCAAGUAACGUUAUAACACACAUAAAACAGGACACAUAACAAAAUAAGUAAACUAUUAAAUCAUAAUACAAAACUUCCUUUACAUAUGCUGAUUCACAACUCAAAGUAACAUAAUCACAUAAACUACUUUAUUCAUGCUUUGGAUUCACAACAAUACUUAUAAAAGUAAAUAGAAAGGAACUGAAUAAGAACAAACCAAGGCGUAAAAGCAAGAAUGUCGUCACCGGUAACUCGAACGAAACUCCGAAUUCUGAACCUGAUUUUUUUUUCUCUUUCUUUUUCUUUCUCUCUGUUUCUGCUUUCCUUCUUCUUAUUUUUCACUCUGUUUUUUCCUUCUUUUCCUGUUUUUUCUCUGUCAUUUUCCGUCUAUGGUUUUCCCUCAAUUUUAGUCUGUUUUUCUGAUAAGGAUCGUACGUAUUUUGGGGAAGUCAGGAAUUUAUACGCUGAUGGGGAAAGAGGUUGAGGGAAGUUGGGAUAUAGAGAGGAUAGGGUAGUUGAG
rnacentral:lncRNA from 1 species